rnacentral:lncRNA from 1 species
AAAUUGAUAAAAGUGAAUAUUAUAGUAUUUUGAUUCAUUGUUGAUGUUGAACGUGAUAUGUCAUCGAGCGGGUAGGCAAGCACUAGGCUCGGGUAGGCAAAAUUUAGAAUUGGUGGAUUGUUGGAAUGUUUGAAAUAUGUGUUGGAAUGGUUUUGUUUUAUCGCAUUUAAUUCAAUUAUACUCAUUUGGUCGGGGAAUGCCCCGAG